UAUUGUAGCCUGCUAUGGUAUAACUUAGUGGCAGACGGGUGAGUAAUGUAUAGGAAUCUACCUAGUAGUACGGAAUAAUUGUUGGAAACGGCAACUAAUACCGUAUACGCCCUACGGGGGAAAAAUUUAUUGCUAUUAGAUGAGCCUAUAUUAGAUUAGCUAGUUGGUGGAGUAAUAGCCUACCAAGGCAAUGAUCUAUAGCUGAUCUGAGAGGAUGAUCAGCCACACUGGAACUGAGAUACGGUCCAGACUCCUACGGGAGGCAGCAGUGGGGAAUAUUGGACAAUGGGCGAAAGCCUGAUCCAGCCAUGCCGCAUGAGUGAAGAAGGCCUUUGGGUUGUAAAGCUCUUUUAGUGAGGAAGAUAAUGACGGUACUCACAGAAGAAGUCCUGGCUAACUCCGUGCCAGCAGCCGCGGUAAUACGGAGAGGGCUAGCGUUAUUCGGAAUUAUUGGGCGUAAAGGGCGCGUAGGCGGAUUAGUAAGUUAAAAGUGAAAUCCCAAGGCUCAACCUUGGAAUUGCUUUUAAAACUGUUAAUCUAGAGAUUGAAAGAGGAUAGAGGAAUUCCUAGUGUAGAGGUGAAAUUCGUAAAUAUUAGGAGGAACACCAGUGGCGAAGGCGUCUAUCUGGUUCAAAUCUGACGCUGAGGCGCGAAGGCGUGGGGAGCAAACAGGAUUAGAUACCCUGGUAGUCCACGCUGUAAACGAUGAAUGUUAAAUAUGGGAAGUUUUACUUUCUGUAUUACAGCUAACGCGUUAAACAUUCCGCCUGGGGACUACGGUCGCAAGAUUAAAACUCAAAGGAAUUGACGGGGACCCGCACAAGCGGUGGAGCAUGUGGUUUAAUUCGAUGCAACGCGAAAAACCUUACCACUCCUUGACAUG
rnacentral:rRNA from 1 species